CUCAACAAGGCAAGGCAAUAUCUCACUCUCAACUCAGGGGGCAAUCCACCGGCUUUCGGAAGAGAAUCACGGCCUCAGAUUUCACAUGGUAUUCUCUGGCAUCCACUAACUCUGCUAACAGCAGCCAGACGACUGCAGCUGACAACAAAGAAAAGGCAUCAGCAGCGAAGCCUCAGGAACAGGAGGAGGAGGUCGACAUCGACCUGGAGGCGCCGGAGACGGAGAAGGCAG